CGGGCGCUGCCCGGUGCGUUAAGCCGUAUAUUUCCCUGGGGCCAAUAUCGACCUCUAGGGAACUGUCCCUGUCCUUAGCCCUGGCUUUGGACACACGGUGCCCACCUGCUGAGAGCAGGCCGCAGAGGAACUCAUGCGGCAACGGCCACGGCGGCUCCGUU
rnacentral:other from 1 species